CCUACGGGUGGCUGCAGUGAGGAAUAUUGGUCAAUGGGCGCGAGCCUGAACCAGCCACGUAGCGUGAAGGAUGACUGCCCUACGGGUUGUAAACUUCUUUUAUAGAGGAAUAAAGUGAGGCUCGUGUGCCUUUUUGUAUGUACUUUAUGAAUAAGGAUCGGCUAACUCCGUGCCAGCAGCCGCGGUAAUACGGAGGAUCCGAGCGUUAUCCGGAUUUAUUGGGUUUAAAGGGAGCGUAGAUGGGUUGUUAAGUCAGUUGUGAAAGUUUGCGGCUCAACCGUAAAAUUGCAAUUGAUACUGGCAGACUGGAGUGCAGUUGAGGUAGGUGGAAUUCGUGGUGUAGCGGUGAAAUGCUUAGAUAUCACGAAGAACUCCGAUUGCGAAGGCAGCCUACUAAACUGCAACUGACAUUGAUGCGCGAAAGUGUGGGUAUCAAACAGGAUUAGAUACCCCAGUAGUC
rnacentral:rRNA from 1 species